rnacentral:sRNA from 1 species
GGGACCACCACGGGCCUCUGGAGGCCUCCCAUCAUCCCCAGAGCUGGGAAAGUGCAGAGCUGCCUUCCACACGGUCCCCAGUAGCUGACUCGCCUGCAUUGGAGGAACCCUCCUCUAAGGGUGAGAAGGGAGUUCAGGCUCCAGGGUCUAUUCAGUCUUUGGCUAUU